GGCGAACGCUGGCGGCGUGCUUAACACAUGCAAGUCGAACGGAAAGGCCCCUUUGGGGGUACUCGAGUGGCGAACGGGUGAGUAACACGUGAGUAACCUGCCCUUGACUUCGGGAUAACUUCAGGAAACUGGGGCUAAUACCGGAUAGGAAUCCUUGCUGCAUGGUGGGGGUUGGAAAGCUUCGGCGGUUUUGGAUGGACUCGCGGCUUAUCAGCUUGUUGGUGGGGUAGUGGCUUACCAAGGCUUUGACGGGUAGCCGGCCUGAGAGGGCGACCGGCCACAUUGGGACUGAGAUACGGCCCAGACUCCGACGGGAGGCAGCAGUGGGGAAUAUUGCACAAUGGGCGGAAGCCUGAUGCAGCAACGCCGCGUGCGGGAUGACGGCCUUCGGGUUGUAAACCGCUUUAAGCAGGGGCGAAGCUUGUGGUGACGGUACCUGCAGAAGAAGCACCGGCUAACUACGUG
rnacentral:rRNA from 1 species